rnacentral:rRNA from 1 species
UACGGAGGGGGCUAGCGUUGUUCGGAAUUACUGGGCGUAAAGGGCGCGUAGGCGGACGAUCAAGUCAGAGGUGAAAGGCCUGGGCUCAACCUGGGAACUGCCUUUGAAACUGAUAGUCUAGAGUCCGGGAGAGGAUGGCGGAAUUCCCAGUGUAGAGGUGAAAUUCGUCGAUAUUGGGAAGAACACUAGUGGCGAAGGCGGCCAUCUGGUCCGGUACUGACGCUGAGGCGCGAAAGCGUGGGGAGCAAACAGG